UACGUAAGAGGCAAGCGUUGUCCGGAAUCAUUGGGCGUAAAGAGCGUGUAGGCGGCCAGAUAAGUCCGCUGUGAAAUCUCGAAGCUCAACUUCGAGCUGUCGGUGGAAACUGUCUGGCUAGAGUCCGGAAGAAGAGAAUGGAAUUCCUGGUAUAGCGGUGAAAUGCGCAGAUAUCAGGAAGAACACCCGUGGCAAAGGCGGUUCUCUGAAACGGUACUGACGCUGAGACGCGAAAGCGUGGGAAGCGAACAGG
rnacentral:rRNA from 1 species